CAGGUCAUCCAACUAAAACAUCCGACUUCUGACAAGUUCUGUGGAAGAGUGUGUAACCAAGUCUGGUGCUGUGUAUUACACGGGCGACAUGGAAGGCUUUUCGGAGUGGUUUUGGGAUGAGAAUUUUUGGCUGACACCCGGUAUAAAAUGGGAGGAUUUAAAGUCAAAAACACCCGGAGUUUACUAUGGACAAUUUUCAGAUAUUGGUCUACCCUCGAUCUAUAUGGGUUUAUUUAUGACCGUCUUAAGAUUCGCGUGUUUUAGGUUAAUAUUUAUUCCUAUUGGAAAACACUUUGGAAUCAGAGUCAAGAGGCCGAGGAAUGCUACACCAAAUCCUGACUUGGAAGUAGAAUAUAAAAAAUCUAAAUUUCCUAAAGAUGAAAAAGUAAAGAGCAUGGUAAAGAAAACCAGUUUAACUGAACGAGAGAUACAGAGAUGGUUUCGAGUGCGGAGACAACAGGGCGCCCCCGGUAAUAUGCAGAAGUUUUGUGAAUGCAGCUGGAAUUUCCUGUUUUACGGGUCUGUGUUUGUGUAUGGAGUUUACAUUCUGUGGGAUGAACCCUGGUUUUGGGAAACCAAGUACUGUUUCAUAGACUGGCCUUAUCAGCACAUCUCCGAUGGUCUGUACUGGUACUAUUUACUUGAGAUGGGGUACUACUGGGGCCUUCUCUUCUCACUAGUGUUUGAUUACAGGAGAAAGGACUGGAUGGAGAUGACACUUCACCACGUUAUAACACUGGCCCUGAUGGGAUUCUCCUGGGGAAUCAACUUCUCUCGUAUGGGCUGUAUGAUCGUCAUCACACACGAUGUCGCCGACAACUGGAUGGCAAGUGCAAAAAUGGCCAAGUACUGCAAGAAGCAGACACUCUGUGAGGUGCUGUUUGGUGUGUUUAUCCUCCUGUGGCUGUUCACGCGAUGCUACGUCUUCCCCUUCAAAAUGUUGUACGCCAGUAUGGUGGAGAUUCAUGAGUAUGUGGAUCACUUCCCGGUACACAACAUCUUCCUGGGACUGCUGCUCUUCCUCCAAGUAUUACAUAUCCUCUGGACCUACUCCAUCCUCUCUAUAGCCUUCCAGAAGUUCACAGAAGGGGAGUUGAAGAAGGAUGUACGCAGUGACACAGAGGAUGAUGAUGAGGCGGAUAACAGCGACGACAACGCUAACGACUCGAUGAAAGACUUUAACACCAUUCUGCCUCACGUGGGUAAUGGCGACGCUGGUAAAGCCGACGGUCUCAUACAACGGAGGACAUAGGAUAUAUGUUGUUGUGUAUUCAGGAGCGUUGAGAAUGCUUCAAAAAUAAUUCAUAUUGGGAUUUGUGGAUAACUACUUGGUCCAAUUUUAAGUUGUAGCUGAUGUGGACACUCUAGUAUGUACGUAACCUUCACAGAAAGUGUAUCAUCUAGGGGAUCACCCAGGUGUCCCUUGGGUUAGUUUCUCCAGGAAACUGGAGGAUGUACAGUACACUGUAUCGUUCAUUCCAGUGAAGGAUAAUCAGAUAGCCGGCGAUAACCAUUCCACCCUCCCCGAUAUUGAUAAGACCGUGUGAUUGAUUCCUUCCGAGGUUUAUAAAGAUGUUGUCCAUUAUAAUUCCCUCCGAGGACCUGGGGAUCACAUCCAGAACACACCUCUGGAGAAAUAUGUACAUAUAACAAGGUCUUUUCCUGUGAAAAUCGUCCUUUGGAUUUUGCCUAGUGUAUAGUCCAAGAGUGUUCCUAUCAUAAUAACAGUUUUUGUCACAACUUUUCAUUUCCUAUAUAGAAUUAUGAACAGUCUUCUAUGCCAGCUCAGAUCAAAAUCCUCAAAAGAAAUUAAAAAGUUUUCUUCAAUGUCCUCAUAAGCACAAUGUCCAAUACAGUGAGAGCCGGAGGUGCUCAAAGAUAGCAAUCAAUCAAAUUUUUUGUGAGUUUAGCAGGACAAAAAAUACUUAUUGAGAAUCAACCAAAAAAACUUUUUAAUAUAAAAAAAGGAGAUUGAUAAUUACUUGAGCAAAAAAAGCCUUAUUUGUAGAUUUUCAUAGUCUGAACCAAAAUUCAUUUGUUUUUAAUGAAACAAAUUAAUUUGUUGUUUUUAAUGAAACAAAUGAUUGUUGUAUUAGAGCCAACUGUAUUGGAAAUCUGCUUACUGCAAUUUAUGUAAAAAAUAUUGUGUUGUAUACUGUUGUUUCAAAUUUUGUCCCAUUCAGUUUAUGAAAUCCUUUAUUUUUUAUCAUUUGUAUACAUGUAGUGGAGUAUAUUGUUCUUUAAUGUGGGGUACAACUUUGUUGGUUCAAGCUGUAGUUUAAUUGAUGUAUAGACGAGCAGAGGAAUCUAGUCAAUAAGGUUCCCACUUUUUAAAGCUUUAUUUAGAAGUGUGUAUAGACAAGCAGGAGAAACUAGUCGAUAAGUUUUCUGGAAGGACUUUUUUGUUUACGCAAAAUGACCGGUUGGUCUUCUUUUUAAUUCAAAUUCAGGUUUCGGUUUCGUUUAAAUAAAUGCUGCUGUAGAUUUUUGAAAGUCUUUACCAAGUCAAGUAAGACAUUCAGACUAGUAGGUCCCUGUUCAUCAAAGAUUAAAUCGGGUCAAACUGUUUAAAAUUUGAUCAACAGAAAUGGCCCUAUUUCAUACUUUAGAGAUAUGGUAUUACCUAACAAGCUAUGGUAUACGAGAUAUGGUAUUACCUAACGAGCUAUGGUAUACGAGAUAUGGCAUUACCUAAUGAGCUAUGGUAU
rnacentral:misc_RNA from 1 species